rnacentral:rRNA from 1 species
AUUGAACGCUGGCGGCAUGCCUUACACAUGCAAGUCGAACGGCAGCACGGGAGCAAUCCUGGUGGCGAGUGGCGAACGGGUGAGUAAUAUAUCGGAACGUGCCCAGUCGUGGGGAUAACGCAGCGAAAGCUGUGCUAAUACCGCAUACGAUCUCUGGAUGAAAGCGGGGACCUGCAAGGGCCUCGCGCGAUUGGAGCGGCCGAUAUCAGAUUAGCUAGUUGGUGGGGUAAAAGCCCACCAAGGCGACGAUCUGUAGCUGGUCUGAGAGGACGACCAGCCACACUGGAACUGAGACACGGUCCAGACACCUACGGGUGGCAGCAGUCGAGAAUUUUUCAC